rnacentral:rRNA from 1 species
AUUGAACGCUGGCGGCAGGCCUAACACAUGCAAGUCGAACGAGUGGCGGACGGGUGAGUAAUGUCUGGGACCCUGCCUGAUGGAGGGGGAUAACUACUGGAAACGGUAGCUAAUACCGCAUACCAUCGGAUUUGCCCAGAUGGGAUUAGCUGGUGGGUGGGGUAAAGGCUCACAUAGGCGACGAUCCCUAGCUGGUCUGAGAGGAUGACCGGCAACACUGGAACUGGGACACGGUCAGGACUCCUACGGGAGGAAGCAGUGGGGAAUAUUGCAAAAUGGGCGCAAUCCGGAUGCAGCCAGGCGGCGGGGAUGAAGAAGGCCUUCGGGUUGUAAAGUACUUUCAGCGGGGAGGCGUUAACCGCAGAAGAAGCACCGGCUAACUCCGUGCCAGCAGCCGCGGUAAUUC